rnacentral:tRNA from 1 species
GCCGCGGCGGCCAGGGUUCGAAGGCGGUCGGCCGCCGCGGCCGGCCCGCCGCGCGGAGACUUUCCGGUGCCGGGCCGGGUCGCGGCUC